rnacentral:rRNA from 1 species
UACGUAGGGCGCAAGCGUUAUCCGGAAUUAUUGGGCGUAAAGGGCUCGUAGGCGGUUUGUCGCGUCGGGAGUGAAAACUCAGGGCUUAACCCUGAGCCUGCUUCCGAUACGGGCAGACUAGAGGUAUGCAGGGGAGAACGGAAUUUCCGGUGUAGCGGUGAAAUGCGCAGAUAUCAGGAGGAACACCGAUGGCGAAGGCAGGUCUCUGGGCCGCAACUGACGCUGGAGGAGCGAAAGCAUGGGGAGCGAACAGG